GGUGCCGUGGCUCGGCGGCAGAGCAUCUGCCUUGCAGGCAGAAGGUGCCAGGUUCAAUCCCCAGCAGCUCCG
rnacentral:tRNA from 1 species